CAGUAGCCGCGGUAAUACGAAGGGUGCAAGCGUUAAUCGGAAUUACUGGGCGUAAAGCGUGUGUAGGUGGUUGUUUAAGUCUGUCGUGAAAGCCCUGGGCUCAACCUGGGAAUUGCGAUGGAUACUGGGCGACUAGAGUGCGGUAGAGGAUAGUGGAAUUUCCGGUGUAGCAGUGAAAUGCGUAGAGAUCGGAAGGAACAUCUGUGGCGAAGGCGACUAUCUGGGCCAACACUGACACUGAGACACGAAAGCGUGGGGAGCAAACAGGAUUAGAGACCCCCGUAGUCCCUGUCUCUUAUAA
rnacentral:rRNA from 1 species